AUGUAUAAGAACCAGCUGCAGGAGCUAGCGCAGCGGAGCUGCUUCAACUUGCCGUCGUACACGUGCAUACGCGAGGGGCCGGACCACGCGCCGAGGUUCAAGGCGGCCGUGAACUUCAACGGCGAGGUGUUCGAGAGCCCGAGCUUCUGCACCACGCUGCGGCAGGCGGAGCACUCGGCGGCGGAGGUGGCUCUCGCCGCCCUAUCCCACCGCGGUCCCUCCCACUCCCUCGCCGCUCGGAUCCUGGAUGAGACAGGGGUUUAUAAGAACCUCAUGCAGGAAAUUUCCCAGAGAGUUGGGGCACCUUUGCCAUCAUAUACCUCGGUGCGUUCAGGUCUGGGACACCUGCCUGUCUUUACAUGCACAGUGGAACUUGCUGGAAUCACGUUUACGGGCGAACCUGCUAAGAACAAGAAGCAGGCAGAAAAAAAUGCUGCUUUGGCAGCAUGGUCAUCAUUGAAACGAUUGGCGAAGGAAGCAGCAAGCUCGUCAACUGAACAAAACAAUGAUGAGCAGGAACAGAUCACGAUUGCUCGAGCUCUCCUCAAUUACCGCCUCAAGGAAAAAAUAGCUAUGGCGAACAACCCCCAUGCAACUCCUUUCCCAAAGAAGUUCCCAGUUCAGCUAGAUAAAAAACCAGCUUCACUUCAAUCUCCUCUAUCUGUAUCGAAGAUCCUUCCUCUCAUCAGACAAAACUCUAUUCCAAGAGGUCGUGCAACCUCUCGUGGAAUAAAUGAUGGAGCUCAUUCAUCAUUCCAAGAGAACCACAAUGAGCGGCCCCAGAACUUCCCUGUUGCUGCAGCAGCACCAUAUUUUCCAGUUAGGCCCUUCGGUCGGCCUUGCCAUGGCAUGGCACCCCCUGUGACAAUAAGGACAGCUGUGCCAGUCUUUUCAGCCCCCCCACUUCCACCACCACCAUCACAGGUAUGCCAACAACGUCUGCCUGUUAUUGGUCACACACAGAUCCGCAUGGCAUCCCCAGUCCGCAUCAGACAGUCCGUGCCAGUCUUUUCUGCUCCACCACCACUCCCACCUGUAACUUCAGUGAUCCCAGUUCGGGUGAAGGAACCCUUGCCGGUUGUCUCACCCCCUUCAUCGGACAAGGUUCUUGUGCCAGUUAUCGCAUCAGCAUUACCUGUUAAGGUAAAAGAAUCAGUGCCAGUUGCUACGGCAUCUCUCUCAGUGAAUGAACAGUCACCUGUUACUGCACCAGCUGUUCCAGUUCUAGUAAAGGAACCAUUGUCCUCAAUUCAGACACAUGAGCCUUCAACCUCGCCCCUGGCCUGCCCAGCAGUGAAGCCGUCGAGUCAGAUAGAGGACUUUGUGGAUGGUCGUGAUGCAAAGGAUCUGGAAGAAUCUGAAUCGACAGCGAUGGAGAGCUUGAAACGAUUGGAUAUCUGUUGAAUUCAGAGAUCCUCUUCGCUCAUGUUUUGGUCAUCAUGCUUCUAAGUUAAUUUUUCUUUGAUGUAUUGCUAUUAGGAUUUUAGAGAGGCCACGCUACUAGAAUCUUAGCUCUACAGACGCCAAUCUCAAACUUGAGGCCAAUUCACUUGAUAUGAAGUAUCCUAUCGAUGAGAAGUUUUAACGCUUCUGUUCUUAUCAACUACUGGUAAGCAAUUGCAGUCCGAAUGCAGUGCUCCCCAACUCAGAUAAGUUGUGAGACCUGUUUCUUGCUUGUGUAACAGGGAUGAUUUGGCAUGCUGUAGUGGAGUUGGUACAGUGAGUAGUAGCUCGUAAGGUGAUAUGUCCAUCUUCUCAGACCUUAGAAUCAUUUUGUCUUCCAUAGUUGGUAAAUAUUGCAGAUGUAUUAUGUGUUUUUCA